rnacentral:rRNA from 1 species
AAACUAACAGAUUUACUUCGGUAAUGACGCUAGGAAAGCGAGCGGCGGAUGGGUGAGUAACACGUGGGGAACCUGCCCCAUAGUCUGGGAUACCACUUGGAAACAGGUGCUAAUACCGGAUAAGAAAGCAGAUCGCAUGAUCAGCUUUUAAAAGGCGGCGUAAGCUGUCGCUAUGGGAUGGCCCCGCGGUGCAUUAGCUAGUUGGUAAGGUAAAGGCUUACCAAGGCGAUGAUGCAUAGCCGAGUUGAGAGACUGAUCGGCCACAUUGGGACUGAGACACGGCCCAAACUCCUACGGGAGGCAGCAGUAGGGAAUCUUCCACAAUGGACGCAAGUCUGAUGGAGCAACGCCGCGUGAGUGAAGAAGGUUUUCGGAUCGUAAAGCUCUGUUGUUGGUGAA